rnacentral:rRNA from 1 species
AUUGAACGCUAGCGGGAUGCCUUACACAUGCAAGUCGAACGGCAGCGCGGACUUCGGUCUGGCGGCGAGUGGCGAACGGGUGAGUAAUGUAUCGGAACGUGCCCAGUAGCGGGGGAUAACUACUCGAAAGAGUAGCUAAUACCGCAUACGCCCUACGGGGGAAAGGGGGGGAUCGCAAGACCUCUCACUAUUUGAGGGGCCGAUAUCGGAUUAGCUAGUUGGUGAGGUAAAGGCGCACCAAGGCGACGAUCCGUAGCUGGUUUGAGAGGACGACCAGCCACACUGGGACUGAGACACGGCCCAGACUCCUACGGGAGGCAGCAGUGAGGAAUUUUGUACAAUGGGCGCAAGCCUGAUCCAGCCAUGCCGCGUGCAGGAUGAAGGCCCUCGGGUUGUAAACUGCUUUUGUACGGAACGAAAAGGCUCUGGUUAAUACCCGGGGCUCAUGACGGUACCGUAAGAAUAAGCACCGGCUAACUACGUGCCAGCCGCCGCCGUAA